AGAGGUCUCAAGCGUUGUUCGGAUUCAUUGGGCGUAAAGGGUGCGUAGGUGGCGUGGUAAGUCGGGUGUGAAAUUUCGGAGCUUAACUCCGAAACUGCAUUCGAUACUGCUGUGCUUGAGGACUGGAGAGGAGACUGGAAUUUACGGUGUAGCAGUGAAAUGCGUAGAGAUCGUAAGGAAGACCAGUGGCGAAGGCGGGUCUCUGGACAGUUCCUGACACUGAGGCACGAAGGCCAGGGGAGCAAACGGG
rnacentral:rRNA from 1 species